CUGAGGUGUCGUGUCGUGUCCUGAGCUGAGGUGUCGUGUCGUGUCCUGAGCUGAGGUGUCGUGUCGUGUCGUGUCCUGAGCUGAGGUGUCGUGUCGUGUCGUGUCCUGAGCUGAGGUGUCGUGUCGUGUCGUGUCCUGAGCUGAGGUGUCGUGUCGUGUCGUGUCCUGAGCUGAGGUGUCGUGUCGUGUCGUGUCCUGAGCUGAGGUGUCGUGUCGUGUCCUGAGCUGAGGUGUCGUGUC